GUCCAGUGGGGGCAACCCUAGGAAAGUGCCACAGAGACUAGACCGCCAUGUGUUGACACAAGGUAAGGGUGAAAGGGUGCGGUAAGAGCGCACCGCUUGGUUUGGUGACAAAACAAGGCUUAGGUAAACCCCAUUCGCAGCAAGACCAAAUAGGAAGUCAGAUGGUGCUGCUCGCACUUGGCUUCGGGUAGGUUGCUUGAGGCUGCUGGCAACAGUAUGCCCAGAUGAAUGAUCAUCGCUUUUGUUUGGUAACAAGCAAAGGAACAGAACCCGGCUUAUAGAGCCACUUCGCAA
rnacentral:RNase_P_RNA from 1 species